GUCUUUUUGAGUUAUUUUUAAAGUCUGACCUGCCCACUGAAAAUUUUUAAAUGGCCGCAGUAUUCUAACUGUGCAAAGGUAGCAUAAUCAUUAGUCUUUUAAUUGAAGGCUGGUAUGAACGGUUGGACGAAGUAUAAGCUGUUUCAUAUAAAUUUUUAAUAGAAUUUUAUAUUUUAGUCAAAAAGCUAAAAUAUUAUUAAAAGACGAGAAGACCCUAUAAAUCUUUAUAUUUUAUUUUAUUUAAAUUUUUUGGGUUGAUUUUAUUUUUUUAAAAUGAGAUAUUUUGUUGGGGUGAUAUUAAAAUUUAAUGAACUUUUAAUUAUUUUUAGUCAUUAAUUUAUGAAUUGUUGAUCCAUUAAUAGUGAUUAUAAGAUUAAGUUACUUUAGGGAUAACAGCGUAAUUUUUUUGGAGAGUUCAUAUCGAUAAAAAAGUUUGCGACCUCGAUGUUGGAUUAAGAUAUAUUUUUAGGUGUAGUCGCUUAAAUGUUAAGUCUGUUCGACUUUUAAAUUCUU
rnacentral:rRNA from 1 species